CAAUUAAACGAGGUUAAAUGUCG
rnacentral:snRNA from 1 species